rnacentral:rRNA from 1 species
UACGGAGGAUGCAAGCGUUAGUCCGGAAUGAUUGGGCGUAAGCGUCCGCAGGUGGCGAUGUAAGUCUGCUGUUAAAGAGUGAGGCUCAACCUCAUAAGAGCAGUGGAAACUACAUAGCUAGAGUGCGGUAGGGGCAGAGGGGAAUUCCUGGAUGUAGCGGUGAAAUGCGUAGAGAUCAGGAAGAACACCGGUGGCGAAAGCGCUCUGCUAGGCCGCAACUGACACUGAGGGACGAAAGCUAGGGGAGCGAAUGGG